rnacentral:ncRNA from 1 species
UAAUCGAAAAGGCAAACUAGUUGAAAAGCUGGGACGCAAAGUCAACAGAUCUAAGGUGGCAUCACUAAGAUGGCUGGACUGCCGAG